UGAGAGCGUGUCUCUUCAUUUCUAUUCAUGCUUGGAAACAUUCAUACUUGCCGUUUGCUUCGAAGCAUGUGCAUUUGCUAUGGACAAGGAGGUCUUUUGGGACACACGCUUUAUAGAACAUUGAAAUUCCGAAAGGUUUUCGUGGUCGUAGAAAUGAUUUGAAUUUUCUUCCCAAAUAGCCUCUUUGAGGAAGACCAGCUAUGAAAGAAAGCGCCCUCUCUGGUUGUCAUGUGUCCAGUUACAACUGUCUGGUCCGGAAGAGAGGCAACCCUUUGCCUCCUGUUCAUUGAUACCUCCCUGGUGCCUGGGCCGGGCACAAAAUAAGUACUUGUUUAGUGAAUAUAUUUACGGAUGAGCCCACAAAGGUGAAGAGUUUUUAAAGCUGUACCAUAGGAUGAACCUAUUUUAAGAAAAGACCCAGUUUCAGAAGGAGAGAAUGUGCGGGGUCUGAUUGUCUCAUGCCAGUAACGGACGAGACCACAGGCUGGUUUAUAAGAUGCAAGUGAAAAGGAGGUUUCUGAUCAUUAGGCACUAAAAGUUAAGUAAAAAGUAAACAGUAAAUAAAUGAGAAGAAUGUCUAGUUUCCAAAUGAUCUCCAUUGCUAUAUGUUGCUUCUUUACCCCUUGUGCUCUGGGUAUUUGGGGGCAACUUUUUGGAGUUGUUCUAACUUACUAGUAAUAUAUCUUCAGGCCUCUAAUUUUUCAAACAUGAAGCCUGGGCUGGAGCCUGGACUGAGUUCAGCAUCAGCCAAACAAAAUCAUGCUGGGUAAUGCCUUGACUAGGAAAGCAUUUCACACAGGAAAAAAUGAACAUGCCUCUGGCUUCAUACUGGUUGAACAAUCCAGGAGUCCACUGACCCAUGGCCUUGAAAUUAGAUCAAUUUUUUGUCAAAGCAGGGAAUAGGGCACAACCUAUUUUUAACAGAUGCACAAAACUCGACUAUAAAUCCUUUUUGGUAUUACUCAACACCAACAAAGUAUAAAAGGAGCACCAUUUACAGAAAAUGACACCCCAGCUGGUCAUGGGUCGGUCUUUCAGAAUGCCACAAUGACUAGAGACCUUUAUUAUAAAGUCUGUGAAUUUCAUCCCUUUAGAGAAGUUCAUUAAAGUCUCUGUGAUUUCACAAAACUAUGACUUUUAAUCUCAUACUUGGUCCUGGGAGGCCAAGCUGACCCUGACAUCAGCUGGAUCAUCUAAUAAAGCAAAGUUAAAGCCCAUAGGUAGUAAAGCAAAGGCACUGAAAAAUGAGCAAAGUUCCCCUCUGACGAAUUUGCUAGAAUUUUGCCAUUUCAAAACCCUAGGCAUCAGCUAACUUCCAUUCUGGCGUCCAUAAAAUCUCAUUUUUAGAUACAUUUUAGGGGUUUUAUCCCUUUCUUUCUUUCUUUCUUUCUCUCUCUCUCUCUCUCUCUCUCUCUCUCUCUAGAGGUCAUAAUCUAGCCAGAAGUCCGUUCAUAAACCCAAAGCAUAGUUGUAAGCCCCAUAUAGUCCUACAGAUUGCAAGUGAAGGUUUGGACACGAACUUUUGCUACAGCACAAUUGUGGGCUAUAUCUUGUACUCACUAAUAUGGUUUGACACAGAGUGCCUCUGUUUUAAAGAUUCUCGUCUACUCUGCAACUGUACCUAAUGUUUAAACAGCAAAGCAAAAAAUAACAACAACAAAGAUAACCCCAGGACCCAGUAAGAGAAACUGACCUAAUUGCCUUGAGAAAAUGUACGUUUGUGCUAUUUGACUUAGACAUUUCUUUGUCCUGUUUCUCUUGCCCACUGGGCACCGGCUGAGUCAUUUGCUUUGUCUUACGGUUAGAACUGUUGAAAUUAUCUAGAUCUGGUUGAGUCUGUUAUGCUCACAUUGAAGAUUACAGCUCCAAUGCUUAGAAAGGCCAGCCAGUUUUGCUGUGUCCCAAGGGGAACCAGGACAAGGGAGGCUACAUGAUUUAUGAAAACCCUUCACCAGAACCCUGGAAACAAUCAAAGUAUAUAUACUUCAGGGAUGAAGGGUGAGCCUUUAUUGUAUGCAUAGCAUUUU